AUUUUGAUUCAUUGAUCCUAAGUAGAGAUUAGAAAAUAUUUAAAUGGAUUUUAAAUACAGAGGUAUAUAAAAUAAGCUGCGUACUCAAAUGAUCAGACUUAAUAACCCUUUUUGGUGGUACAGGGUGUAGGGUAGAUUUUAUUUAUUUAUUUAUUUUUGUGUGACAUAGAAAAAUAAAACAAAAAAUAUAAAAAUGUCUAUGGACUUUAGAAAAACAACCUAUAAGCCACAGCGGGCUGACAACCGUUUUCGCACGAGCUAUUCGUUAAUGUCACAAUGGAUGAACCGGAAGGGGUCCGCACAGGUGUACCGAAAGGAGCCGCUACCGCAGACGUUCCAGAUUGCCAUGCAAGGAAACGCCGCCUUCCCUCCCCGAAGGAACCCGUCAUUCAGCGCCGGAGACCGCUACGGGCAGAUGUCAAAGUCAAUGGAUCAGAUGCCCCCGUAUGAAGGUCAAGGUCAGCCAGAUCCGCUAGUGUACAACGUCACUGCACAGAACGCAUCGAUAGACGAAUCUGUUCCCGUGCAUCUUCGUUUUAAUGAGCGAGCUGGGUAUGACGAUUUCCACAAGAACUUCCAACAGGUUUCACAACAGUUUCCGUCAGCCAGUUACCCAGAGUUUGGACCCGCCAGGUUACGUCACGGGCGUGCGGGCGGCAGCUGGCGUCACGUCAAAGAGGUUCUUCAGGCCGGGGGCGCCAGAAUUGUCUUCGUAGAUGGGGUCAUACGCUGGGCGGAUGGUGUUAAGGCAGACGAAGUUCCGGCCGGGCACCUGAUUAACCCGAGGGUGGGCGAGAUUAAAUCCCGCUAUAUGGUUCCAAGCAGACAGCAGCCCAGUGCACGCUUGGUUAAAGGGUCCCGUGUAGGUUCCACUGAAAACCUUGCUAAAAAGGAAUUUCAUCAAUACCCUCCGACAUUUUGGCGGAGUUCUACGGACAUUCCCGAUUUCGUUUCGUGGGGCAAGCCUCAAACAAUCCUUUCCCCGACCCUGAAGAUCCAAGAAUGCAAUUCCAAGCGCCAGUUCUGACGCGUAGCAAAACAUUUGCUGGCUAGAAGUGUGUAGAGUUAUUGCAAGAGAGUGGGCGUUGAGUCAAAAGAAAGCAGUCGAAAAAAACAACUGGUUUAUUAUGAGAUAAAACUCCAGUUUGUGAUAAAAAUAGUACUUUAUGUGAUAAAAUAGUAAUUUACUGAACUCUGACCUGUUUAUGUGAUGAAAAAGUAAUUUACUGAACACUGACCUUUUGGGGGUGACUAAAGGAAUAAAGCAUAUUUUAAUUACUUCAUAAUACAUUUUACUUCAUUAUUUGACUAGAUAGUUUUGCUGUCGAAACAGUAUUCCUAAACAGUGUUUAACUUUAGUCUAAUAUGUUUUAAUUACUUGAAACUAAGCCCCUAGAUUGAUGUGUCAUACAUUGUCUGUUAUUUUUACCCCAAAUCAGUAUUAAAUUUCUUUAUUAUUUAAAUAUGUUGUAAAAAUAUUGUUACUAACCUAUUUAAUUGUUUAUAUUUAGAAAUAUGCAGAUUUUAUACUCUUGUCUUAUGUAUUGCUCAAUAUAUGUUUAAUUUCAAUGUAAUGUGCGUUAUACUUUGCUUUCAGUAUUAAUUGCCUACCUGAUUGGUUGAUUGGUUGAUUGAUUGAUUGAUUGAUUGAUUGAUUGAUUGAUUGAUUGAUUGAUUGAUUGAUUGAUAAGUUAUAGAUCGUACACUGCAUUGUUCUAGAAGUCAAUAAAACAAAGAAGGGAAAUUUA